UACGAAGGGGGCUAGCGUUGUUCGGAAUUACUGGGCGUAAAGCGCGUGUAGGCGGGCCGUUAAGUCGGGGGUGAAAGCCCAGAGCUCAACUCUGGAAUUGCCUUCGAUACUGGCGGCCUGGAGCAUGAUAGAGGCAAGUGGAAUUGCGAGUGUAGAGGUGAAAUUCGCAGAUAUUCGCAGGAACACCGGUGGCGAAGGCGACUUGCUGGAUCAUUGCUGACGCUGAGACGCGAAAGCGUGGGGAGCAAACAGGAUUAGAUACCCUGGUAGUCCACGCUGUAAACGAUGAGAGCUAGUUGUCGGCACGCAUGCGUGUCGGUGACGCAGCUAACGCAUUAAGCUCUCCGCCUGGGGAGUACGGUCGCAAGAUUA
rnacentral:rRNA from 1 species